UUCUCUUUCUUCUUCUUCUCUUUCUUCUGUUCAUCUCUUUCUCCCUGUCACUAAACCUAAACGAUGAACCUAAUAACGGCGUGUUUAUAUUCUCUCACACUUUUCUUCUGAAACAAACCACUGUUCUCCCCCAUAUGGUUCUUCCCCGUUAUUUGAGAGAUGGAAGAUGAUAUGUUAUUACUUCGAGGAAGAUGAUGAGACAAACCGCUGUUGUUUGUCUUUUUUCAGCGGGUUAUGAGAGAAAAUAGGAAGAUAAAGAAGCACCAAAUUAAGUACAGAUAGAGAAGAACUGAAAUUUAUGACUUGGGUUUCUUCUAAUUAUCACUCUAGAUGGGUCUGGAAUACGGGUGUCCAUUGGAAGAUGCGAUGACCAGAUUAGCAAAUACUAGGGAUGAACUCGAUUUAUGGUGAAUUGCAUUUCCAUAUGCUAUAAAGAGCUUGCGGAAGGGUACUUUCCUUGAACGUAAGAGAUGGUCUGAAGGUUUAAUUCAGAUUUUUCGCUCAAAGUACUCUUCACAUAUGGGCUAUGAAAGCUUGCGGAGAGAUUCCGAGUUAAUGAAAUCAACGGACUACUCAUUUGGGCAACAUACAUAGCUACGCUAGAACCGAUAUUCUUAAAUUGCGGCGAAAAGUUACUCCGGCUGUCGUCGGUCGCAUGAAAUCACCUGCCUUACUGUUAGGUAUACACAAUAAUCGAUUCACAGUCAACCAACUCAUGAAAUAUACAACAUGCGAACGUCAUCAUGUGCAGGAUAAAAAUCAUUGGUUGUUACAGGGCAGAAGCUCCAGUAUCUUGCAAUAAGUCCAACUGACAUUGUAGGGGUUGCUACCAUCAGGGAAGUUGGCGGUGGGAUGGAGGUCUUGGGGCGAGUAGAGGUUCGGUGUUGGAGCUGGUGCGGGUUGGGUGAGUGGUGGUUGCAUAAAGAAUUGGGAUAUUUAGACUUUGGGUCCCAUCUUUGUGACCAGCGUGAUCUUCUUGUUGUAUUUGCUCGAAGCAAACACUUUGGACCUUCCUACUGAUCAAUCAAGGGAUUUAUCCACUUGAUUUUCUCUGCAAAAUUUUCUACAGACAAACAAGAAUUACUUCCAUUUAUUCAUGUAUCCAUGAAUUGACUGCACGGUUAUGGUUGAUUCUUUCUGAUAGAUUAUGGGUUUUCCUUAAUUUUCUGAAAACAAAUCCAUAUUUUCUUCUGUUUGUGGUUGAGUAUAUAGUGAACAAAACCUGUUUGUUUAAUUGUUUCAAUGGAUGCUUUAAUUGCCACUCUUAAAUGUUAUCCAUGGGUUCUUCCACAAAACCCAACUUCUUGUUUGUCUCAGAAACAACCUCUAUCACUUCCAAUUUCAUCUCUGCACCAUCACGAUGAGCUCAGGGCGAAAACUUCUUCUGCCGUAGUGUCCAGUUUGAACCCAUUUUCUACAUUAUCUUCUCUUUUUUA